rnacentral:rRNA from 1 species
UACGAAGGGUGCAAGCGUUAAUCGGAAUUACUGGGCGUAAAGGGUGCGUAGGCGGUUGUUUAAGUCUGUCGUGAAAUCCCCGGGCUCAACCUGGGAAUGGCGAUGGAUACUGGGCAGCUAGAGUGUGUCAGAGGAUGGUGGAAUUCCCGGUGUAGUGGUGGAAUGCGUAGAUAUCGGGGGGAAUACCAGUGGCGAAAGCGGCACCCUAGCGUUAGCCUGACGCUCAUGUGCGAAAGCGUGGGGAGCGAACGGG